GUGAAUAAGCCAGUUUGAACAGAUGUGUUUUGAGCUGUGACUUAAAUACUGGAAGAGAGUUUAUAUUUCUUAUGGCUGGUGUCACGGCCUUUUAUGUUCCAAACGCCAAAAAAGUCCAAGAAAAGGCCGUGGGUGGCAACGGGAGGUUUGUUUUCGAACGCACUUCUGACUCCAUUGUUUAAAAAAUCAUCUGCCGUUUAUUUCGUGGAAAAUUAUAAACAAAAAUCAACCAAAUAACUUCUUAAAACUUAAAAUUAAACGUAGGUUAACUUAAUUUGCUUUAACAACUUCAAAAGUGGUCAAAAAAAAUCAUUUUUCGUCUUCCCAUCAGACGUUUGGCAAACAAAAACCAUCUUUACCACCCCAGGGUGCUCUUAAUCCCCUGAUUAAUGGGAGGGUCCAUAAGCCAAUAAACCAAUCACUUUCCAAAAAACUUUUCCAAUAAAAUGAAUUACAAAUUUACAUAACAAAACUAGGUCAGCAUAUUCCUACAACUUUAAAGAAAAAACAAAAAUGAAUACAAAUUGCAUUUUAUAAACAUUCAACAAAAACGGCCACAACAGCUGGAGGAAGAGAGUUCCAGAGCCGAGGAGCGGAGCGACUGAAGGCUCUGAUCCCCACAGUGGUGAGAUGAGGGCGGGAAACAGUGGUGAUAUGAAGCAGGUCACACAAAUAGGAAGGAGCAGAUUUAUGGAUACACUUGUGUGCGAGAAGUAAGACUUUAAAGUUUAUCCUGGCUUCUCCGAGCAACCAGUGAAGCUGCUGAAGAACUGGGGUAAUAUGAGCUCUUGAACAAAUGAACAAAGGGAGACGGAGGACUUAAAUACACACAUGAGGUGAUCAGGAGAGGUGGAGACACGUGAGGACACAGCUGACUCGAAUGAAAAUAUAAGGACAACACAGGGGAGAGAAACACUGGACACGCUAACAUGAGACACGGACCUUCAAAGUAAAACAGGAAACAUGACAAGCACAGACUAGACGCUGAACUAAACCUAAGAACAAAACUCUUAACCAGAAUAACACUGAAAAUUAGGAUUACAUCUUCAAAACAGGAAAACUAAAGAAUAAAAAAAAAAACAUAAUACAGAAAAAACACCGAAACACAUGAAACUAAAACUGCUGAGUCAAAAUGACCCAGCACCAUGAAACCACUAGAAAUCUGUAUCUAAUGAUUUGGCCAGUGAGUGUGUAUCUGUCUCCCUUUGCAUUCAGCGACAGCCACUUAUUUGUGCAGCUUGCUCAUACUAUUAUAACUGUAUAUGUUAAAGUGUCAAAGAUUUAUAUUAAGAGUCAAACAUUUUCUCUGCCUGCAGGGUUAUCAGGGCGAGGCGGGGUCACAGGGACCCAGAGGACAGAAAGGAGACAAGGUCAGACGAGUCAUCUGUAGAACUGCUGUCGUUUUGCAGGAAGGCUGCACGGGAUUCUGAUCCGUGUCUUUGUGCCUACAGGGA
ensembl:lncRNA